UUAUAAUUAGUGAUGUGAAAUUGUAAAUGCAAGUUUAGUUUGAUGAAGAAAUAUUUUUAAAGCAAGUUUAAUUUGAUAAACAAUAGUUAUCAUUAAUAGGAAAGAGAUGAAGGGAGAGUAUUUUUCGGAGUAGUUGCUCCAUAUUAAGUUAGUCUCCCUUCUUCUCUUUCUUAUUAAUGAUAACUAUUGUUUAAACUUAAAACUCUAUAGUUUAUCAUUAAUAAUUUAUAAUCUAAAAUAUAAAUAAUUUUAAAAAUAGAAUUUUUUAAUUAUUUAUGAAAAUAAUAUUAAAUUAAAAAAAAAUACAAGACCAUAUGAAAUAUUUCAUAUGUCUUCUAAUUAUUUUAUUUUAUUUUAUUUUGUACUUACUAAUACAUCCAUGAAAAUAAGAAACAUUAUACUUUAUGCUAAAAUAGUGCUAGAGGAAUCGAUGCUACAACAUAAUUUAUCCUUUACCUAAUAUCAAGAUAUUAGCCAUACAGUUUACAAAAAAAAAAAAAAGAUAUUAACCAUACGGCAUACAUGGUGGUGACGACUAAACCGACUCUGUAACUAAACUAAACAUGCAGUAAGCCAAAAAUUGACCUUGUGUUAAAGUUUUGAGUAUUAUAGUGAAAAUAGAGAAAAAUUGACCAGCUAUUACACAACAUAUAAGAAAUUGUGUAGUAAGAUGUGAAAUUCAAUAUGUUUCAGUUACUCCAACAGUAAACAUGAAUACAUGAUAAAUGCAUUUAGAAAUCUAAUUAAUUAGCAGAAUCUUCUGUGAUUAUUAUAAUUAUCUUAUUAUGAUGAGUGAUUAAAGGUGUACGUGGUCCAGAGCUUUGCCAGUUUACCCUUACGCAUACUUUAUUACUGUAAUUAUAAUAAUACACUGUUGGUUUCGCAAGCCGAGACAACUCGAAUUCGAAUAAAUAUCAAUUUUGAACGGCGAACCUAAUGAUAGUGUUUAACAAAUAAUCAUACAAUCUUGCGACCC
rnacentral:lncRNA from 1 species